GAUUAUGUUCUCUAUAUCUGUCACUCCCCUUGGUUCUUUCCUCGGGUGUUAUUGACUCAUGUCGGUGCGUUGUUUGUGUUUUCAUGUUUAUUGUUUCAUUUAUUUAUUAAAACACUCGCUCCCUGAACUUGCUUUCCGACUCUUACCGCACUUGUUACAGAGUAACACCUCACCUAAGGGAAGCAUUAGGGUGAAGUGUUUUAUUGUUUUAUUUUUGUGUCAGUGUAAUGACGUUGGGUCCGGGAACUGCUACAGGCUCCCGUGCCUCAGCUGGUGUGAUCGGUCCGCUCCAGUCCCCUUUGACGCGUCCUGCUGCUGCAGCCGCGCGUCGGGGAUCCGGCAUCUUGGUCAUUUGAUUAUCCCGCACACCUGUCACCAUCGUCUCACACACCUGCGCCUCAUGACAGUCACCUGGACUCCAUCACCUCCUUGAUUAUCUUCUCUAUAUCUGUCACUCCCCUUGGUUCUUUCCUCGGGUGUUAUUGACUCUGUUUUCAUGUCGACAGGUGGUCUCUAAUCUCUGCCCCCACACACAGACAUUUGUGUUAGACUCACGGGCCUACAUAAUACAAGACCAACCUGUUCCUCAGCGUUGACCCAGAUGUCUAGAAGGGAUUACAGCUAAACCACAAUGACACAUACACAACUCUGACUACGGCUGAGGCACAGUGAGACGUAUUCUAGGAGGUGGUACAGAUGAGAGAGGACAGGACAGGAGGAGAGGACUGGAGAGGAGAGACCAGAUAGCUCCAGAAUCUUACUCUGCAGCACCCAACGGUUCGACGAGGUCUCUGUUCAUUACUUCAUCAAAAUAUAUAGCUUUCCAAACAAAUAGUUUCCAUUUUGUAUUAUUUCAACCAAGUGCGGCUAGUGCCGUUUUUUCAAAUGAAAAGGACCUGCACUUAAAUAUUCUGAGAACUGUUAUGUUUUCACCUCCAUUUGUAAUGUGUUGCUGUCUGCCCUGAAGCACUGUCACCUUCUGUACUACAGAUCAGCUCUAAUCUCUGUCACAGCCAACUGAAGUCAGAUGAGAUGUCAUGUAAAAGCGUACACGUAUUACUGUCCACACUAGAGGUCGACCAAUUAAUUGGUUUGGACGAUUUAUUAGGGCCGAUUUCAAGUUGUC